rnacentral:sRNA from 1 species
UCUUGAAUCAUCAUCGUCUUCUUCCUCUUCUUCC